rnacentral:rRNA from 1 species
GACGGAAGGUGCAAGCGUUGCUCGGAAUCACUGGGCGUAAAGGGUGCGUAGGCGGCCGUGCAAGUCUGGCGUGAAAGCCCCGGGCUCAGCCCGGGAAGUGCGCUCGAAACUGCGCGGCUCGAGUGCCGGAGGGGAGAGUGGAAUUCCUGGUGUAGCGGUGAAAUGCGUAGAUAUUGGGAGGAACACCAGUGGCGAAGGCGGCUACCUGGACCGGUUCUGACGCUGAGGCGCGAAAGCGUGGGGAGCAAACAG